GCCGUGCCGUGCCGUGCCGUGCCGUGCCGUGCCGUGCCGUGCCGUGCCGUGCCGUGCCGUGCCGUGCCGUGCCGGACCAUGGCCACCAGGGCGGUGGCGGGCCGAGUGUAGCGCGGCGGUGGGGAUGGAGCAGGGGGGCCGCCGAGGCCGCGGGUGCGGAGCAGUGCUGGGAUGGAGCCACCACAGGGCCAUCGGCCAGCUCAGCCCACCCACCCAGUCCCUGCUGCGGCCGGACCAGGGCCAGCUGUCUUCCUCUGAGGCCAUCUGAAGGGGACUGGUG
rnacentral:lncRNA from 1 species